AUGAACGCUAGCUACAGGCUUAACACAUGCAAGUCGAGGGGCAUCGGGAUUGAAGCUUGCUUCAAUUGCUGGCGACCGGCGCACGGGUGAGUAACGCGUAUCCAACCUUCCGUACACUCAGGGAUAGCCUUUCGAAAGAAAGAUUAAUACCUGAUGGUAUGAUGAGAUUGCAUGAUAUCAUCAUUAAAGAUUCAUCGGUGUACGAUGGGGAUGCGUUCCAUUAGGUAGUAGGCGGGGUAACGGCCCACCUAGCCGACGAUGGAUAGGGGUUCUGAGAGGAAGGUCCCCCACAUUGGAACUGAGACACGGUCCAAACUCCUACGGGAGGCAGCAGUGAGGAAUAUUGGUCAAUGGACGAGAGUCUGAACCAGCCAAGUAGCGUGAAGGAUGAAGGUCCUACGGAUUGUAAACUUCUUUUAUAAGGGAAUAAAACCUCCCACGUGUGGGAGCUUGUAUGUACCUUAUGAAUAAGCAUCGGCUAACUCCGUGCCAGCAGCCGCGGUAAUACGGAGGAUGCGAGCGUUAUCCGGAUUUAUUGGGUUUAAAGGGAGCGCAGACGGGUCGUUAAGUCAGCUGUGAAAGUUUGGGGCUCAACCUUAAAAUUGCAGUUGAUACUGGCGUCCUUGAGUGCGGUUGAGGUGUGCGGAAUUCGUGGUGUAGCGGUGAAAUGCUUAGAUAUCACGAAGAACUCCGAUUGCGAAGGCAGCACACUAAGCCGUAACUGACGUUCAUGCUCGAAAGUGUGGGUAUCAAACAGGAUUAGAUACCCUGGUAGUCCACACGGUAAACGAUGGAUACUCGCUGUUGGCGAUAUACUGUCAGCGGCUUAGCGAAAGCGUUAAGUAUCCCACCUGGGGAGUACGCCGGCAACGGUGAAACUCAAAGGAAUUGACGGGGGCCCGCACAAGCGGUGGAGCAUGUGGUUUAAUUCGAAGCAACGCGAAGAACCUUACCAGGUCUUGACAUCGAUCUAAAAGGGAUGGAGACAUCCUCAUAGCUAUAGAGAAGACAGGUGGUGCAUGGUUGUCGUCAGCUCGUGUCGUGAGAUGUUGGGUUAAGUCCCGCAACGAGCGCAACCCUUGCCUUUAGUUGCCAUCAUUAAGUUGGGCACUCUAGAGGGACUGCCAGGGAUAACCUGGAGGAAGGUGGGGAUGACGUCAAAUCAGCACGGCCCUUACGUCCGGGGCUACACACGUGUUACAAUGGGCGGUACAGAAGGCAGCUACCUGGCGACAGGAUGCCAAUCCCUAAAGCCGCUCUCAGUUCGGACUGGAGUCUGCAACCCGACUCCACGAAGCUGGAUUCGCUAGUAAUCGCGCAUCAGCCACGGCGCGGUGAAUACGUUCCCGGGCCUUGUACACACCGCCCGUCAAGCCAUGAAAGCCGGGGGUACCUGAAGUGCGUAACCGCAAGGAGCGCCCUAGGGUAAAACCGGUAAUUGGGGCU
rnacentral:rRNA from 1 species